rnacentral:misc_RNA from 1 species
AAAUGCGAUAAGUAAUGUGAAUUGCAGAAUUCAGUGAAUCAUCGAAUCUUUGAACGCACCUUGCGCUCCUUGGUAUUCCUUGGAGCAUGCCUGUUUGAGUAUCAUGAAAUCUUCAAAGUAAAUCUUUUGUUAACUCAAUUGGUUUCUACUUUGGUAUUGGAGGUCUUUGCAGCUUCACACCUGCUCCUCUUUGUUCAUUAGCUGGAUCUCAGUGUUAUGCUUGGUUCCACUCGGCGUGAUAAGUUAUCUAUCGCUGAGGACACUGUAAAAGGUGGCCAAGGUAAAUGCAGAUGAACCGCUUCUAAUAGUCCAUUGACUUGGACAAUACUUUUAUGAUCUGACCUCAAAUCAGGUAGGACUACCCGCCGAACUUAAGC